CAGUCGCCACGGUAAUACGUAGGUGGCAAGCGUUGUCCGGAAUUAUUGGGCGUAAAGGGCUCGCAGGCGGUUUCUUAAGUCUGAUGUGAAAGCCCCCGGCUCAACCGGGGAGGGUCAUUGGAAACUGGGAAACUUGAGUGCAGAAGAGGAGAGUGGAAUUCCACGUGUAGCGGUGAAAUGCGUAGAGAUGUGGAGGAACACCAAUGGCGAAGGCGACUCUCUGGUCUGUAACUGACGCUGAGGAGCGAAAGCGUGGGGAGCGAACAGGAUUAGAUACCCCUGUAGUCCCUGUCUCUUAUAC
rnacentral:rRNA from 1 species